AUGCCAUUUUUGGGACAAUUUCUUAUUAGCCCUGUAUAUCGCUCCCAAGCCUCGUACAAUGACUCCUCCAUUUGUUGCUCAAACUUUGCUAUGGACUUUUUGAGUUU